AUCUCUCGGUUCCAGCAUCGAUGAAGAACGCAGCGAAAUGCGAUAACUAAUGUGAAUUGCAGAAUUCAGUGAAUCAUCGAGUCUUUGAACGCACAUUGCGCCCCUCGGUAUUCCGGGGGGCAUGCCUGUUCGAG
rnacentral:rRNA from 1 species